rnacentral:rRNA from 1 species
GACGAACGCUGGCGGCGUGCCUAAUACAUGCAAGUCGAACGCAGUGGGGACGGGUGAGUAACACGUGGUUAACCUCCCGUCAGCGGGGAAAACACUUGGAAACAGGUGCUAAACCGUUACUGACGGUUGAACCCGCGGUGCAUGAGCUAGUUGGUGAGGUAACGGCUCACCAAGGCCACAAUGCAUAGCCGAACUGAGAGGGUGAUCGGCCACACUGGGACUGAGACACGGCCCAGACUCCUACGGGAGGCAGCAGUGGGGAAUUUUGGGCAAUGGGCGAAAGUCUGACCGAGCAAUGCCGCGUGAGUGAAGAAGGUUUUCGGAUCGUAAAACUCUGUUGGUAGAGAAGCGGUAUCCACCCAGAAAGCACCGGCUAACUACGUGCCAGCAGCCGCGGUAAUUC